rnacentral:rRNA from 1 species
AGAGUUUGAUCAUGGCUCAGGAUGAACGCUAGCGGCAGGCUUAAUACAUGCAAGUCGAACGGGAUUCGGGGUAGCAAUACUUUGAUGGGAGUGGCGCACGGGUGCGUAACGCGUAUGCAACCUACCUUUAACAGGGGAAUAGCCCCGAGAAAUCGGGAUUAAUACUCCGUAACAUUGCGGUGUGGCAUCACACUGCACUUAAAGCUGAGGCGGUUAAAGAUGGGCAUGCGUGACAUUAGCUAGUUGGUGAGGUAACGGCUCACCAAGGCAACGAUGUCUAGGGGUCCUGAGAGGGUUAUCCCCCACACUGGUACUGAGACACGGACCAGACUCCUACGGGAGGCAGCAGUAAGGAAUAUUGGUCAAUGGGCGCAAGCCUGAACCAGCCAUGCCGCGUGCAGGAAGACGGCCCUAUGGGUUGUAAACUGCUUUUAUCAGGGAAUAAACCCCCGCUCGUGAGCGGGGCUGAAGGUACCUGAAGAAUAAGCAUCGGCUAACUCCGUGCCAGCCGCCGCGGUAAUAC